AACAACAUGAAUAAUAUAUAUCAUACUGUAUGCCAUCAUAUAAUACAAAAGUAUAAUUUAUAAUAUAUAUUAUCAUAGUAAUAUAUAAGUAAACUGUACUUACACUUUGGUCACUUAAAGUGCAUUCAGUUAAGGUAGCCUAGACAACCACAUUUCCAACCAAGGUAGCUAAGACAACCACGUAUCCAAGGUAGCUAAGACAACCACAUAUCCAAGGUAGCUAAGACAACCACAUAUCCAAGGUAGCUAAGACAACCACAUAUCCAAGGUAGCUAAGACAACCACAUAUCCAAGGUAGCUAAGACAACCACAUAUCCAAGGUAGCUAAGACAACCACAUAUCCAAGGUAGCUAAGACAACCACAUCUCCAAGGUAGCUAAGACAACCACGUAUCCAAGGUAGCUAAGACAACCACGUAUCCAAGGUAGCUAAGACAACCACAUAUCCAAGGUAGCUAAGACAACCACAUAUCCAAGGUAGCUAAGACAACCACAUAUCCAAGGUAGCUAAGACAACCACAUAUCCAAGGUAGCUAAGACAACCACAUAUCCAAGGUAGCUAAGACAACCACAUAUCCAAGGUAGCUAAGACAACCACGUAUCCAAGGUAGCUAAGACAACCACAUAUCCAAGGUAGCUAAGACAACCACGUAUCCAAGGUAGCUAAGACAACCACGUAUCCAAGGUAGCUAAGACAACCACAUAUCCAAGGUAGCUAAGACAACCACAUAUCCAAGGUAGCUAAGACAACCACAUCUCCAAGGUAGCUAAGACAACCACAUCUCCAAGGUAGCUAAGACAAUGACGUAUCCAAGGUAGCUAAGACAACGACAUUCACUACACAGUGCAUACGUUAUUUACAUAAGUAUUCAGACCCAUUCGCUCUGAGACUCAAAAUUGAGCAAAGUUGCAUCCUGUUUCCAUUGAUCAUCCCUGAGAUGUCUCUACAACUUGAUUGGAGUCCACCUGUGGCAAAUUAAAUUGAUUGGACAUGAUUUGGAAAGGCACAUACCUGUCUAUAUAAGGUCCCACAGUUGACAGUGUAUGUCAGAGUAAAAAACCAAGCCAUGAGGUGGAAGGAAUUGUCCAUAGAGGUCAGAGACAGGAUUGUGUCGAGGCACAGAUCUGGGGAAGGGUGUCCAACACAUUUCUGCAGCAUUGAAGGUCCCCAAGAACACAGUGGCCUCCAUCAUUCUUAAAUGGAAGACGUUUGGAACCACCAAGACUCUUCCUAGAGCUGGCCGCCCGGCCAAACUGCUGAGCCUAACAAAGUACUGAGUGAAGGGUCUGAAUACUUAUGUAAAUGUAAUAUUUUAGUAUAAAUAUUUUUGGAGAAACCAGUUUUUGCUUUGUCAUUAUGGGUUAUUGUGUGUAGAUUGAUGAAGAAAAAUGUCAUCAAUUUUAGGGGUCAAUUUUAGGGGUCUGAAUACUUUCCGAAUGCAAUGUAUAUACACAAAGGUAUGUGGACACCCCUUCAAAUUAGUUAUUUGACUAUUUCAGCCACACCCGUUGCCGACCGGUGUAUAACAUCGAGCACACAGCCAUGCAAUCUCCACAGACAAACAUUGGCAGUAG